GGGGUUGUGGCUCAGCGGUAGAGCACUCACCUUGCACGUGUAAGACCCUGGGUUUGAUCCUCAGCACCACA
rnacentral:tRNA from 1 species